UCUUGCUUGACCAAUCUUAUUUCCUUUUAUGACCAGGUGACCUAUCACUUGGACGAGGGAGAAGAGAUUGAUGUCAUAUAUCUUGACUUUAAAAAAGCCUUUGAUCUGGUAUCCUAUGAUCACCUCUUAGCAAAACUGGGCAACUGUGACCUCGGUUUCAACAUGAUCUGCUGGCUGGGGAAUUGGUUCUGUGGUUGGACCCAGAGGGUGGUGGUUGAUGGAAGUCAGUCGUCAUGGUGUGCUGUGACCAGUGGAGUCCCUUGAGGCUCUGUCCUUGGGCCUAUACUAUUUAACAUUUUUAUUGAUGAUGUGGACAUUGGUAUCAGAAGCAGACUGGCCAAGUUCACUGAUGACACCAAACUGGGGUAAAGCAUCUGCACCUGAGGACAUGAGGAUGAUCCAGGCUGACCUGGACAGGCUCUGCAAAUGGGCAGACAAGAACUUGAUGGUGUUUAACACCAAAAAAUGCAAGGUUCUCCACCUUGGGAGGAAAAACCUGCAGCAUGCUUAUAGGCUCAGCAGUGCUAUGCUGGCUAGUACUACAGACAAAAGGGACUUGGGGGUCAUGAUUGACCACAAGAUGAACAUGAGCCUUGAGUGCGCUGCUGCAGCUAGUAAAGUGAGCAAAACACUGACUUUCAUGCAUAGAUGCUUCUCAAGCAUAUCCCAGGACAUCGUUCUCCCAUUGUACUUGGCCUUGGUGAGGCUGCAGCUGGAGUCCUGCAUCCAGUUUUGGGCUCCACAACUCAAAAAGGAUGUGGAGAAGCUUGAGAGAGUGCAGCGGAUAGCCAUGCACAUGAUCAGAGGUCAGGGAAACAGAUCUUAUGAAGAGAGGCUGAGAGCCAUGGGACUCUUCAGCCUGGAAAAGUGCAGGCUCAGGGGUGAUCUGAUGGCCACCUAUAAGUUUAUCAGGGGUGCUCACCAGAAUCUGGGGGAACAACAGUUCACCAGAGCACCCCAAGGGAUGACAAUGUCAAACGGUCACAAACUCCUCCAGGACUGUUUCAGGCUGGACAUAAGGAAGAACUUCUUUACUUUGACCCCCCAAGGUUUGGAAUAGACUGCUGCCGGAAGUGAUUCAAGCAC
rnacentral:lncRNA from 1 species